CCCCGAGAGCCGCAGCGCCGGCCACUUCCGCUCCUGGCGUCCGGAAGCGGAAGUGCGCGGCUGAGGCCGACUGCGGCGGGUGUGCUGGGCCGCGCGGCGCGCCGCGGUGGGAGUGUCUCCGGCUGGUCUGCAGGGAGGACACCUAAUGAGACCUUAAAUCCUGGCACUGGUGUCAUGGAGUCAGUCACCUUUGAGGAUGUGGCGGUGGGGCUCCUCCGGGAGUGGGCAUUACUGGACGGUGCGCGGACGAACCUGUGCCGAUACGUGAUACUGGACAAGUGCAGGACUCUGGCCCCCAAGGACUGGGACUCUCGACUCAAAUCCCAAGCGUCUCCUCCCGUGCAGGAUAUUUUGGAGGGAAAUUCAUCCCCGGGUUUGCACAUGGUGGAGAAUGUCCUCCAGUAGCUGCUUGGGAAAGGGCGUGUUGCUUUUGAGGCCCUGAAAAUAUGUGAAAAUAUCUUACUGGAGCUGCCGGCUUGCAGGGGCCUCAUCUGGCAGGAUCGUUGUGGUAACCCCAUGCAGAACAUUCUGUGCAUCGUUACAGAGCCCUGGACUAAUGCUUGUGCAGGGAAAGAAUGAACACGGGUACCCCAGGCCUUCACCCCCCACCCCCAUGAGCAGAUGGACCCUGUGAGGGAGGGAGCGAGGAUGGCCCACAUCUGUCCUUUCCAGUUUCUGUGGGCUCUUUCCUCUUAGUACGGGGUUCCAGCACCUUCCACAGAGCUCCACCUUCAGCUCAGAAGCGAGCACCGAGUGUGGGAGAGGAGGGGCUUCUGCUGCAUCGAGCCCCGGGAAGCAGGCGGUCGCAGAACGUUCUGAGCGGGGAGAGGAGGGCCACUCGGACACGCACGUGCAGAAGUUGAGUGGUUCGUCAUGAAGACACGUAGCCCGUAAGUGGUACGGCCACGUUUGGAGCUGGGAGUCCAAUCCAGGCCUACCGCAGAGGUGCAGAGGUAGCCACCGGGACCUGCUGCCCGGGGGUCACACAUCCUGCCACCUGGCUGAAGGCGCUGACUGUUGGGCUCGUCCUUCCGGGCUUCAGUGGGCCUUGUCCUGACGACUGAGGCCCCCAUGGCGGCCCUGAGGCCUCCCCGUCAUGGCUAGAUAGGCCAGGGGAGGGCACGAGAGAGCUGGGGACUGCUCGUAGAAGAGUCCCAAGAGGAGGCUGCAGAAGGGGUGUCUCCGGGCUCAGUCCUUCUACCGUCCCAGCCGCCUCCCCCGUGCCGUGUCUCCUCCAUGCUGUUUCAGGGCACGGGGAUGUUAGCUUGUGCGAGCGCUGGAGAAGGGCAGCGUUCAGAGGACGGGCUCUGGAUGGCAGGGCAGAUGUAACCCAACUGUGGCCCGUAGGUAGGCCCCGCGAUUGAUGGAUGUCAAAUAGACAAACACAGGCUAAGAAAACACCGAACAACGUUCCUAUUCAGAGCUAAGGGCUCCCAGCCUUCCUUGAGUGAAGCACGUUGCAGUGUCUCUGAGGGCCCGUGGCCUGACCUGCAGUCGGGCCCCCCACCCCAGAACCAGAAAGGGUCGGGUCCACCUUGGCGCCUAUGGCAUGAUUGGUCCUUGAGACCCUUGGUGGCUGGCGCUCACCGUGGAAUAGGGGGAGUCACCGGAUCUGAAGCUGCCAGACCUGCACGCCUGACUUGUCACAGCACUGCCCCCAAACUGAGGGUCCCUCGGGCCCAGAACACACUCAGUGCCGCCUCUGUCCUGCUCCGUCCCCUCCGUGCCUUCUAGGGGCCGGGGCCAGACCUGAGGAUGCACAUCAGGCCCACAAUUGGAGACAGAGAGACACCUUUGAUUCCAGAGGACCGGCUAUCUCUCUGGCUGCCACCUUGGUCUUCUGGAUAUGUAGGGCGGAAGGCGGCCGCGCAGAUUCAGAGGGUGGCUGUGCCGGUGCCUGCACUGAGUCUCCCUGAGCUGAGGAUGGCUGGUGAGUGAGCACUGGCUGGAAAUGGCAGCCCGAGGGCCUCCCAUGUGCUGUGUUGUGUCUGGGAACUUGGAUCUCCCGCCUUCAUUUCUUGGGACAGCAGGCAUUUCCCUGCCCCUUAAGGAGGAUCCAUAAAAUCAUGUCACCAUUCUUUACGUA